ACGAGAUCGACUUCUAGAUUUUACAAUCCGUCCGAGAUUCAAACCCAAUCGACAUACGCAAAGGGGCAACAGUGCCUUGACUUGAAACAAACGUCAAAAAAAUUUAUCCAUAUUCGUGAAGCUGUUUACGUAUGUUAUUUGUUGAGGAUUUCAGUAAAUAUAUAUCCAUUUUAUGCGUUUGCGAGCGCAACACAUGUAAUGGCGGCCGAGGCAAAGAUCACUAAUGGUUUAAAGAGAGCCGUCCAUAUCUCCGAGCUUCGCGGGGAUGUUAGCCGUUUCCUGGAAUUUAAAGGAGCAGGAGUCUAUGACGGACGAAUGAUUUCCGUUUAUGCCAAAUUAAAUUUUGAUGACAUCGUCGAGUUUCGACUGAGAGACAUUUUCGCGAUGGACGAAGAUGCCAACCCGAAGGAGGUGGAAGCAAGCUAUACAACCUCAACUAUAUCGCCAUGGAGGGUAAAAUUGGUUGUAUGGUGAACGGAGCCGGCUUGGUAAUGGCAAUAAUGGACUUUAUCAAGUUGAUCGGAGGCAACCCAGCAAACUUCCUAGAUGUGGGCGGUAAUUUGAAGGAAGAGCAAGUAUUAGUACUUUUAAAGAAAUCGCUUCAGUUAAGUCCAUUUAUUGAUAAGAUUCUACAAGUUUAAUAUGUAAAACACGAAUUUUCAAAUAUAACUUUAGUUUUUUGUAGCAA